AAUUUCUGUAAAUUUACAUGAAAAUUCAACAGCAAAAUGCUGUUUUCGUGUAAUAACAGUAAGUUGCUGUUUUUUACAGUGCAUUGUGGGUAGACUUGCUCACUUCAGGUCGGUUGUCGAGCAACAACAGAAUGUCACUGUUAUUUAACAGUAUUAUAGCAUAUUUUUCGUUGUGCACGCCAUUUUGGAUUGUCUGCAUGAGGUAGGUCUGCAACUUUAUCGAUGCUUGUGCUAUUUUAAAAUUACAUAUUACUUUUGAAUAUUGCAUUUUAUCCAGUGAAGCUUUAAAACAACAAAAUCAGAUUCCAUUUCCUAUUUUAAUCAGGCAAAGCGGGUAUUCUACCAUCACAUCAGUUACACUCACAUCAGAUCACAGGGUUAUUUUGGUGCUUUGGUGCUAUUUUGGUCCCUAUUCCCUGCAUUGUAUAGACAAACAAAUAUUGCAUAUAUUAUUAAGAUGUGUGCCACUCCUGCUGACUUUGAGGAGACUAGUAACUUGUGACACCUCGUUUGAUCCUGUUUGGUGAUACUUGGGACAAUGGAUUAAACAAUGGAUGAUCAGCCUGAAAGCCAAAAGAAUCUGCAAGGGUGUUCAGCCAAUGUGUCUCACUGGACUUACUGCAUUGUGUAUUACAUCUCAACUUGCAAAAGUGAAAGCAGCAUCCACACUGGAAGUCCUUCAAAGACGCUUCAUUAAUCAAACCAGAAAAGGGAACCAAGGCUGCAAAGGGAAAAGUGACCUCUAAAACAAGAAAACUGCAAAAGAAGACCAUCAACAGUCAGUCUCAAACUAUCAAAUCUUUUAAAAAGACUUAUGGACUUGGUACUUCAUUUAAAAUGUAGCUGACACUUCCCACCAAUACAGCUUUUUUUUAAAUAUGGUGGGCUGCAGCCUGCAGUGAUGGCAGGUGACUUCUCUGAGGGGGCACGAAUGCAAAGCUAGCCAAAACAUUGUCAUGUGUGUGGCUCCUCAUUUCAAAAUGUGUGUUCGGCGCGUCAUGUGAACUUGUGCAUCGCGUGUCAUUCCAAAAUACGUGCCUGCUCCAGACACUUUGAAGGGGAUUAUGAUAAAAUGCUCGCUUUUGCAGAUAAUCUCAUGUGUAAACAGAGUUUAGUGUUAAAUGAGUGUCUUGCGAAUCAUGUGUCAUGUGAAUGUCUCUUUUAUUCUUUAUCAUAUUCAAAGCGUUUGUGGCAGGCAUGUAUUUUGACAUGAUGUGCGAUGCAUAUAAUUCACAUUACACCCCGAACACAUAUUUUGCAUUCAGGCAACCACUGGUGGGGUGGUGUUUUUUAUACUGGUUUGUAUAUUAUAGACCAUGUUUUCAUAUUUAAAAUUGGGCUGGUGUCUGUUAAAGAAUUAGUGAAUUAAGGUUUUAUUUAAUUCUUCUAAAAAUGUGGUGUUUUUACAGUUGUGAAACUUUUGUGCUUUUUUGAAAUCUAAAUUUUAAACUACAUUUGUAUUUUAAGUAAAAUAUUGUUCUUUGUUUGUUUGAUUUUUUUUUUUAUUUUUGUAUUUUAGUAUGUUAUUGGUGCCUUUUUGUUGCACCACAGUUUAUGCAGUGAAUAUUAAAAUAUAUCUGCUUGUAUUUCUGCCUGUUUUAUGGCAUAACACAGUCAAUCUGGGGUUGAAUAGAAUAAAGAAUAAAAAAUGCAUAACCUGGCCUUUUUUGUUUUAUGUUAACCACUUUGACAAAUUUAAAAUGCAGGGUAUAAUAGCAUUUAAAUAAAAAAAUUAUGAAGUUGUGACUGUAAAUGAACAGGUAUAUGAUGCUAAAUAACAGUUUUAUGCUGUAGAUAACAAAAACAGUAUCAUGCUAUUAAAUAACAGCUGUAUUCUAUAGAUAACACAAACAGUACCAUGCUGUUAAAAUAACAGUUGACUGCUGUAGGUAACAAAACGGUAUCAUGAUGUUUUUCCUAAUAACAGCAUCCCGCUGUAAAUUAACAGUGCAAUGCUGGCAACCACAGCUUCCAGCAUAAUACCGUUUUUU